rnacentral:rRNA from 1 species
GACGAACGCUGGCGGCGUGCUUAACACAUGCAAGUCGAACGAUGAAGCGGUGCUUGCACCGUGGAUUAGUGGCGAACGGGUGAGUAAUACGUGAGUGACCUACCUUUGACUCUGGGAUAAGCCUGGGAAACUGGGUCUAAUACCGGAUACGACCAAUCUCUGCAUGGGGUGUUGGUGGAAAGCGUUAUGGAGUGGUUUUAGAUGGGCUCACGGCCUAUCAGCUUGUUGGUGAGGUAAUGGCUUACCAAGGCGACGACGGGUAGCCGGCCUGAGAGGGUGACCGGCCACACUGGGACUGAGACACGGCCCAGACUCCUACGGGAGGCAGCAGUGGGGAAUAUUGCACAAUGGGCGCAAGCCUGAUGCAGCGACGCCGCGUGAGGGAUGACGGCCUUCGGGUUGUAAACCUCUGUUAGCAUCGAAGAAGCGAAAGUGACGGUAGGUGCAGAGAAAGCGCCGGCUAACUACGUG